AUUGCAGGCUGCAACCCGCCUGCAUGAAGUCGGAAUUGCUAGUAAUCGCGGAUUAGCAUGCCGCGGUGAAUACGUUCCCGGGCCUUGUACACACCGCCCGUCACACCAUGGGAGCCGGUAAUACCCGAAGUCAGUAGUCCAACCUCGUGAGGACGCUGCCGAAGGUAGGAUUGGCGACUGGGGUGAAGUCGUAACAAGGUACC
rnacentral:rRNA from 1 species